rnacentral:rRNA from 1 species
ACUCCUGCGGGAGGCAGCAGUGGGGAAUAUUGGACAAUGGGCGCAAGCCUGAUCCAGCCAUGCCGCGUGAGUGAUGAAGGCCCUAGGGUUGCAAAGCUCUUUCACCGGUGAAGAUAAUGACGGUAACCGGAGAAGAAGCCCCGGCUAACUUCGUGCCAGCAGCCGCGGUAAUACGAAGGGGGCUAGCGUUGUUCGGAUUUACUGGGCGUAAAGCGCACGUAGGCGGACUAUUAAGUCAGGGGUGAAAUCCCGGGGCUCAACCCCGGAACUGCCUUUGAUACUGGUAGUCUUGAGUUCGAGAGAGGUGAGUGGAAUUCCGAGUGUAGAGGUGAAAUUCGUAGAUAUUCGGAGGAACACCAGUGGCGAAGGCGGCUCACUGGCUCGAUACUGACGCUGAGGUGCGAAAGCGUGGGGAGCAAACAGGAUUAGAAACCCUUGUAGUCCCA